rnacentral:lncRNA from 1 species
CUCGUGAUAAGGGUUUCUUUUACUGUCUGAAACCACUUCAGUUUUUGCCCACAAUUUCAAGUUGUAAAUACAGUAUCUCCAUUGUCAUUCUGUUCACCCAUCCUCCACAUUCAGCUGCAGAGAGCCCAAAUCAUGAUAAGCCUCAGUCUAGGCACUGUAGGGACCCCAGGCUGUUAUGAUAGUGCCUUAAACAGCCGUAUUUACUAGUUUUUAAUUACAGUUACCACCAAGCAUUUGGAUCUCCUAUUCAAAUAUGAUUGAGUUAAUCUUCAGAAUCCCUUGCUUGCAAUGAAGAUGGUUUAUUUUCCUCUAUUUCAAUAGGAGCAAAAAGAGAAGGCACAAAAAUAAACUACUUGCUGAUUCUGGCUGGCCGUUUUCUUUUUUGUACCCCCCCCCCAACUCCUCUGGGUCUAACAGAAGACUGCAUAACUGAGCACCCUCUCAUUCCUGCUCUCAGGCAAUUUGUUUUUUUUAAAGCAACUGUUCCAAUAGUUCGAAGAGAGAAAAUGAAAUCAAUAUUGCAGAAGGCAGAGAAGAAUCCAUAUCCUAGUCCUAUGAAGAAUGAUUUUUAUUAUGGGAAAUAUGAGUUUCUCUGCCUCUGUUUGCUGAAGUUAAGCAACAUAUGCUGCUGAAUCUGGAUUGUGAUUGUAGUGUGUGAUUGACCAACAGAUCACCUUACUUGAAGCAUCAACCCCUCAGAAAUGUGGUGUUAACAACUGAAAUUCUCAAGAGGUAGUAUUUCUUCAUUUUUAAAUUAUUUAUUAAUAAUGGGUCAAGGCAUCCUACCCUGGUCAGUUGACUCUCUCCAUAAUCUGACAGGUCCAACAAAGAGGGAAAAAGAGAACUUCCUAUCCUUGGUGCAGGUUUGUAUAUCUCUUGUGAGCUUAUCACUCAAUCUCUCCCCUCAACAACCCAAGACAUCUCUGGUAAAUAGCCACUGAGGAGGUGGACUUAGAGACCUCAACUCCUCCCCCAUUACUUCACACAAAGAGGCAGGUCUUUUUCCAUUCAAGGAAAAUGCCAACAUAUUCAACCAUGUGGAGUCCAAUAUGGCUGCUAGAGAUUGCUGACUUCCCUUAAUCUUUCAAACUGGGCCAGUCCCAGCCUUAAUCAUUUUAUCUUUAACAAAGACAAAAGAUCCUAACCCAAUUUUCAAAGAGUCUUAGAG